rnacentral:rRNA from 1 species
GAUGAACGCUAGCGGCAGGCUUAAUACAUGCAAGUCGUGGGGCAGCAGGUUUGUAGCAAUACAGAUGCUGGCGACCGGCAAACGGGUGCGGAACACGUACAGAACCUUCCUUUGAGCGGGGAAUAGCCCAGAGAAAUUUGGAUUAAUACCCCAUAGUAUAAUGAAGUGGCAUCACUUUAUUAUUAAAGAUUUAUCACUCGAAGAUGGCUGUGCGGCUGAUUAGGUAGUUGGCGGGGUAAAGGCCCACCAAGCCUGCGAUCAGUAACUGGUGUGAGAGCACGACCAGUCACACGGGCACUGAGACACGGGCCCGACUCCUACGGGAGGCAGCAGUAAGGAAUAUUGGUCAAUGGAGGCAACUCUGAACCAGCCAUGCCGCGUGGAGGAUGAAGGUCCUCUGGAUUGUAAACUUCUUUUAUAUGGGACGAAAAAAGGCUUUUCUAAGUCGUCUGACGGUACCAUAUGAAUAAGCACCGGCUAACUCCGUGCCAGCAGCCG